GAUGAACGCUGGCGGCGUGCCUAAUACAUGCAAGUCGAGCGAACAGAUAAGGAGCUUGCUCCUUUGACGUUAGCGGCGGACGGGUGAGUAACACGUGGGUAACCUACCUAUAAGACUGGGAUAACUUCGGGAAACCGGAGCUAAUACCGGGUAACAUUUGGAACCGCAUGGUUCUAAAGUGAAAGAUGGUUUUGCUAUCACUUAUAGAUGGACCCGCGCCGUAUUAGCUAGUUGGUAAGGUAACGGCUUACCAAGGCGACGAUACGUAGCCGACCUGAGAGGGUGAUCGGCCACGCUGGAACUGAGACACGGUCCAGACUCCUACGGGAGGCAGCAGUAGGGAAUCUUCCGCAAUGGGCGAAAGCCUGACGGAGCAACGCCGCGUGAGUGAUGAAGGGUUUCGGCCCGUAAAACUCUGUUAUUAGGGAAGAACAAAUGUGUAAGUAACUGUGCACGUCUUGACGGUACCUAAUCAGAAAGCCACGGCUAACUACGUG
rnacentral:rRNA from 1 species